UGGGGAAUAUUGCACAAUGGAGGGAACUCUGAUGCAGCGACGCCGCGUGAGUGAUGAAGGAAUUCGUUUCGUAAAACUCUGUUCUAUGGGAAGAAAAGGACUGUACCAUAGGAGAAAGCUCCGGCUAAAUACGUGCCAGCAGCCGCGGUAAUACGUAUGGAGCGAGCGUUGUCCGGAAUUAUUGGGCGUAAAGGGUGCGCAGGCGGCUUUACAAGUUGGAUGUGAAAUAUUGUGGCUCAACCACAAACGUGCAUCCAAAACUGCAAAGCUUGAGUUAAGGAGAGGUAAGUGGAAUUCCUGGUGUAGCGGUGGAAUGCGUAGAUAUCAGGAGGAAUACCGGUGGCGAAGGCGACUUACUGGACUUAAACUGACGCUCAGGCACGAAGGCGUGGGGAGCAAACAGG
rnacentral:rRNA from 1 species